rnacentral:lncRNA from 1 species
CACUCUUCCAAAUAAACCUGCCAGCACCUAGGCGUUCCUGUUUUCUUAGUCUCCUGGCUCUGUACAGGGAAUGGAAGCUACAACUGGGACACUGCAGCCACCACACUUGGCAAGGACCCAGAGUGUGCAACAGCAACCAAAGAAGAAAAAAAUCCACUCAAUCAAGAUGAGACCAGAUACCUACGUCAAGAAACACUUCAAACAUUUGUCUGGAUCCAACUGCAAAAGCAGGAACAUGAACAACCAAGACAACAGGCCUCCUCUGGAACAUGACUGACAGCUCAGGAAGAAAAUGAUGAUCUAACUGAACAUGGUUAUUACUGAUGGUGACUACAAUACAUUUC